rnacentral:rRNA from 1 species
UACAGAGGGUGCGAGCGUUGUUCGGAAUUUAUUGGGCGUAAAGGGCGCGUAGGCGGCGCCACAAGUCACCUGUGAAACCCCCGGGCUCAACUCGGGGCCUGCAGGCGGAACUGCCGUGCUGGAGUGCGGAAGAGGUGAGUGGAAUUCCCGGGUGUAGCGGUGAAAUGCGUAGAUAUCGGGAGGAACACCGGUGGCGAAGGCGGUUCUCUGGGCCUGUACUGACGCUGAGGAGCGAAAGCGUGGGGAGCGAACAGG